rnacentral:lncRNA from 1 species
AACGGUCUUCUUCUUAUGCUAUAUAAGUGAGACUUGGAGACUUUAAGAAAAAGCUGGUGAUACAGCAUUUUGACAGGUCUGUUUCUUUGUGAAAAGCUAUCAUUCUUUUGUUCACAGUUUUUCUGUAAGUGUUUGUUCAUCAUUUGUGUAAAAUCUGCUUGUAUAGAAUCAACUUGCAAAGCACAAAAUAUUAUUCAAACUGUUUGUUUGAUUCCUUAAGGAGACUAGGGUAUAGUCGUAUCCUUGAGAAAACAAAGAAAGUUAUUCUUUG